AACAAAAAGGGGAAACUAGUGGUUUAGGCUCAGAGGUCAUGUUGCUAUCUUCAUCACUGUGUUCAGUCGUUCAAUUAAGAGGUUUUUUUUUUUUAAUUUUGGACACCGUUCUUGUUAGGAUUCAUUGUCUCUUAUUUUUCUCUUUUUUUUAUGCGCUCUUUUGAGCAUGCUUUUUGUCAACCUCAAUAUUUCUAGAUAAGUUCUUUAUUUUACUUCUCACAAAUUUUUUCGUUUCUUUUUUUUUGUUUUGAAGUUUCACACUUUUUUUU
rnacentral:lncRNA from 1 species